ACAGGCUGGACGCUUGGGUGAUGGUCACCUCUGCUCCCUUUGUCCCUAAAUAGGAACGUCCGCCUCUCAGCACUGGGCUCUAUCUCCCUCAGUGAUGUCCUGAAUGUCUCUCGUUACCACUUCUAUGCUGGGGACACUGAACCUUCAUCUCUGACUCUAAUCCCACCCGAGUCUGAAGGGAGGAUGCAGAGAUGGGAGGGCCCAGAAACAUAUGGACUAUGCUUUUUGUUCUUAUAAAAUAUCUGGAACCCAGCUGUUGUUUGGAUGAGUUAAUCCUGCUGAGC